rnacentral:lncRNA from 1 species
UCAGUUUGCAGCCACUUCUUGUUUCUGCCAUCCCCAUGUGCAGGCAUCCAAUUCGGAGACUUAGUCACCAGUAUAAAACUGUCUCCUAUCCAGUGGCUUUAAAAAUCAUUUUUUAAAAUGCUUUAUCAAGUAUUUCCUGAUCUGCAUUGUAAAUUUGUAACUUAGAGUAGUUUGAGAGUCUAUUACAAAAAGCAAGCUAUACAUAUGUAUACAUAUACAUACAUUUACAGACACACAGACAUAUGCAUACAUCUAGUUACUUCGGGUGACUUUUUAUAAUAAAAAUAAUUUUGAUAGUCUCUUUUCCCCCUUAACAGUUCUUUACCUUUGAAAAGAAACUAUGGCAGUAUAGUUUCUUUGAAAAAGUCUCAUUCUUCAACAUCAUUCAAAAAUAAAUAAAGGUCUGGAGUUCCCAGGCUAGGGGUUGAAUCGGAGCUAAAGCUGCCAGCCUACACCACAGCCACAGCAACUCGGGAUCUGAGCUGCAUCUGCGACCUACACCACAGCUCAGGGCAACACCAGAUCCUUAACCCACUGAGCAAGGGCAGGGAUCAAACCUGAAACCUCAUGGUUCCUAGUCGGAUUCAUAUCCGCUGCGCCACGACGGAACUCCUGUGCUUUUCUAUUCCAGUUUGUCUCUUUUUGCUGUCAUGCCAAUCUGAUUAUAUCACUAGCCUAUUUUAAAUCCUCAGUAGUUCCCCAUUGCCUUCAGGAUAAAGUCUGUCAUUCUUGAUGUGGUACUUACGUCCAUUCAUUUCCUGGCCCUGAACCACAUCUCUCACCUCAGUUUUUGUGCCAUUCCUAUACUCAUCCUCUCACUGUACACAAAGAGUGACCAAAAUUGGUUUGCACGGAGAUGACUUGUGCUCACAGUUUCCAUGUUGUUAGCUUGGCCUGGAAUGCCUUUCUCUGUACUUUGCUUGGCUAACUCCUGUUUGUUCUUCAAGAUUCAAAACUGAAAUUCCAACUUUUCUUAAAAAUCUUCAGCCGAUCCCCCACUUAGUAAGUAGAGUGGCAUUCCUCUUAGGCACUCUUGUCAGCAUCGUAUGCACUGCUCUGUGACAGCACUUGCUGUGCUGAACUGUAAUUGCUGGUGCCCCUGUUUAUCUAUUCCACUGGCCCAUUAGUGAGUUUGUUGAGGGUAGGUGCCAUGCCUUGCUCAUCCCGGUAGUCUGGAGCAUCUGGCAUAUGAUAACUCCUCAAUAAGUGAUAAAUGCAUCAAAUGAAAUAUUACAAUGUGCAUGAAUUGGCAGAGAAAAGUAAAGAAUGCAUCCCAGGAAAGUAAGAUUUGUCCCAUCUCUCUUUCAUAUAGACCUAUAUUCAAACUCUGGCUAAGACUUUUUUUUUUUUUUUUUUUUUUUUUUUGCUAUGUCCACAGCAUGUGGAAGUUCCUGGGACCGGGGAAUGAACCCACACCCCAGCAGCAACCCAAGCUGCUGCAGGAACAGUGAUGGAUCCUUAACCCACUGCGCCACAAAGGAACUCCAAGACUUUUAUUUUUUAUUAUUAUAGUUGAUUUACAAUGUUCUGUCAAUUUCUGCUCUACAGCAAAGUGACCCAGUCAUACAUAUAUAUGCAUUCUUUUUCUCAUAUUAUCUUCCAUCAUGUUCUGUCACAAAUGACCGGAUAUAGUUCCCUGUGCUACACAGAAGGACCCCAUUGCUCAUCCAUUCUAAAUGUAAUAGUUGGAGUUCCUGGCAUGGCGCAGCAGAACCAGAUUCGACUAGGAACCAUGAGGUUGCAGGUUCGAUCCCUGGCCUCCCUCAGUGGGUUAAGGAUCUGGCGUUGCCAUGGCUGUGGCAUUAGCCAGCAGCUGUACCUUCGAUUCCUUUGACCCCUAGCCUGGGAACCUCCAUAUGCUGUGGGUGUGGCUCUAAAUUUUUUUUUUAAAGGCAAAAAAAAAAA